rnacentral:rRNA from 1 species
GUAGCUGGCUCCUAGGAGCAUCUGUGCACGCCCGUCAUU